GAUGAACGCUGGCGGCGUGCCUAAUACAUGCAAGUCGAGCGAACAGACGAGGAGCUUGCUCCUCUGACGUUAGCGGCGGACGGGUGAGUAACACGUGGAUAACCUACCUAUAAGACUGGGAUAACUUCGGGAAACCGGAGCUAAUACCGGAUAAUAUAUUGAACCGCAUGAUUCAAUAGUGAAAGACGGUUUUGCUGUCACUUAUAGAUGGAUCCGCGCCGCAUUAGCUAGUUGGUAAGGUAACGGCUUACCAAGGCAACGAUGCGUAGCCGACCUGAGAGGGUGAUCGGCCACACUGGAACUGAGACACGGUCCAGACUCCUACGGGAGGCAGCAGUAGGGAAUCUUCCGCAAUGGGCGAAAGCCUAACGGAGCAACGCCGCGUGAGUGAUGAAGGUCUUCGGAUCGUAAAACUCUGUUAUUAGGGAAGAACAAAUGUGUAAGUAACUAUGCACGUCUUGACGGUACCUAAUCAGAAAGCCACGGCUAACUACGUG
rnacentral:rRNA from 1 species